UCAGAACUCUGCAGUUCAGGCCACGUGUUUAUUUUGAAUCCAGGUGGGAGGAUGGGAGGAGGAACGAGAGGAGGCGGGGCGCAGGGAUUGUGGUCCCUUCGAAUCCGAAGUCCUGGCGGGCGUGGUCUGAGGCCGUGGUUGUGCCUGCCUGAGAUGUUGAGGUCCUUUCCUGCGACGCUGAGCCUGCAAUCCGCCGCGGGCCACCGAGUUCAAAUCUCAUCUUCACCAAAUUUUGUGACCUUGGCAAGUCAGAGAGUGCCUCAUUUUUCGUAUCUCCAUUAUGGGGAGUAUAAAAGUAUCUACCAUGUUACAGGGAUUAACAUGCGUAAAAAACUUGGAAUUCUGCCUGGCAGAGAGAA